rnacentral:rRNA from 1 species
GACUUGGAGGUGUGCCCUUGAGGCGGGUUCCGGAGCUAACGCGUUAAGCGACCGCCUGGGGAGUACGGCCGCAAGGUAAAACUCAAAUGAAUUGACGGGGGCCCGCACAAGCGGAGGAGCAUGUGGUUUAAUUCGAUGCAACGCGAAGAACCUUACCUACUCUUGACAUCCAGAGAACUUUCCAGAGAUGGAUUGGUGCCUUCGGGAACUCUGAGACAGGGGCUGCAUGGUUGUCGUCAGCUCGUGUUGUGAAAUGUUGGGUUAAGUCCCGCAACGAGCGCAACCCUUAUCCUUUGUUGCCAGCGGUUAGGCCGGGAACUCAAAGGAGACUGCCAGUGAU